GGCGCCGUGGCUCAGUUGGUUAAAGCGCCUGUCUAGUAAACAGGAGAUCACGAGUUCCAAUCUCGUCGGUGCCU